GCGCUCCGUCGCUUACGUCCACCGAAAACUCCCGUCGGGUCGCGUUCGCGACGAAAAUUAUUAUAACGUCGAAGGUUCCACCGUGAGCGCCAAUGUAUA